AAAAGGCAGCCGGAGGAUACGAGCGGGGCCCAAAUGGUGUCCUCUCCUCGGAGACACAGAGGGAAUCCAGGAGAGCCGUAAUCCACACAGAACACACGCGGCCCAGGGACGCGGACGGAGCGGUAAGCGUCUGAGGUGGGGUCCCGGUGGCGAGUGCAGGAAGGAAGCCAUUACUACACACUGCGGAGAAAGGGGCCGUGGGAUGCAGCUGCCCGUCACAUGGGAGGAAGAGGUUCAAGACCCCAGACAGGACGGGAGUAAUACGACCCUCUGGAGUAGCUGAGACUGACCUUAGAAAAACUUCCUACCGCUUCAUCUCAUGAACAUUUCCUGCUAAUGGACUUGCCCUGCAAGGGGCACCCCCUCGUUCUGCUACCUUUAAAGGGUCACCUUUGAUGUUUAAGGUUAAUCACUCUCGUAUCAAACCCUCGGUGAGUGAGUUUGCACUGUCCGACUGCCCAAUGUUGAGUGGAUCAGUUGAAUCUCUGCCGCCCUGGGCUGGUGAAUGAGUGACCAGGUGUUAACUCUCCCACACCUGGAGCUGUCCUAAUGAGGGCUGCUGUAGAGCACCUUUGAGCCUUUUAUCCUCAUCUCCCUUUCUCAAAAGAGUUACAGAAGCUGUUUAGGGUAUGGACAACUUUAUUUCACAACAAGACAGUUCAAAGCAGUCAAUUAUAGUGUAGAAAAGCCACUGAACCUGCUGCACAUGACCGCAACCAAACUUUUACUUGUUCUCUCACACUUACUUUUCUUAUCUGGAAAAGAUUUUCCAGUGCUGCAUACUGAUCUCUGGUUUAAGCAAAAGAGCUGUGGCAUCCGUUUACAGUGAUCUAUUUAUUGGCUUCAGGCACUAAUGCCUAACCUAGGAUAUGUGGGUCCAAUUAUUAGUAAUCUAUUAAACCCUGAAACCUAUAAAUGGUUACACUGCAACCCUCUGAGCUAAAGACGGCUCAGAUGCUCUAUGCUCUAAAUCCCUACCUGGUUAAUGAGACAUUGAACCCAACAGCCCCUCUUCCAAGUCCUCUGCCCCCCUUCCAGGGCCUCUGAGGAUACUGUAAUUCCAUCUUCCUUCUUGUCCAAGAGCUGCUCAAUCAAUGGAUGUAUAUAGGAAAGCACAUGUCUAUCCAAACCAAGGGAUGCCGCUUGCACGCGUGUGUUUCGGGACAGUCGUGCGGUCUGCUGCCCCACCUGGUCUAAGCACUAUUGACAAAUCCAUCAAGGAGGUGAUGCAUCAGCUCCAUACAAGCCUGCUCCAAGCAGCCAAAGCUCUGACAUGCUGUCACCUUGGUAACUGCUGCUGAAGUGAAAUGGCCUGCUGGGAUAGCUGACCUCGGUUGGCGGACCGCCAUGACGCAAAGGCAGGCGUGUGGCUGGAGAUGUCACCAGACCCCUGAGGACCAUCGAUCCCCCCCAGCAUCACCACCAUCCAUCCUUAUCCAGGCUAAAUUUAUUCCUCUCAAACAAGAGUGUGGCAACUUAACAUUUGUGAUCGGACGGCAUGUGGAAGCCAUGGAUUUGAGUGAUUAAUGGAAUUUCAAUUAAACGCUGCAAAGCACAGAGACCCUCAAAACAAGAGACUCUGGGACAAAUACAGAUUACAUUGUGUAAUUGAGAAGCACUGAAAAUGGCAAUAUAGCAUAAACACUUCCACUCAGUGUUAAUGGCUUCAAACAUUUCAUGAGUUGUUCAAAAAUGUCUCCUAGUUUGAGUUUAAUGUGAGACCAGAUAUUCACGACAGGGUUCAAAUCUGGACUCUGAACAGGGCAAAACAUGAGCCUGAUGGACUUGUUCUCAAGACACUUCUUGGUUGUGUGGGCAGGAGCACUGUCUUGUUGAAAAAUAACAUCUGUUCAUUCUCUAGAAAACAACUUUUCAAUGGUGAGAAUCAAGCCAUUUUACAGUAUUCUCCUGUACUCCACAGCAUUAAUUCACUUUUCACAGCAGCUGAAAAGCCUCCCAAUACAAUGACCUCUUCCUUCCUCUUCCAUGCUUCACUGUGCUAGAGAUGCAUUUAUUAUAUUAUAUUA